rnacentral:tRNA from 1 species
ACCGAAAUAGCUCAGUUGGGAGAGCGUUAGACUAUAGAUCGAAAGGUCCCUGGUUCGAUCCCGGGAUUCGGCA